rnacentral:rRNA from 1 species
CCUACGGGGGGCAGCAGUGAGGAAUAUUGGUCAAUGGACGAGAGUCUGAACCAGCCAAGUAGCGUGAAGGAUGACUGCCCUAUGGGUUGUAAACUUCUUUUAUAUGGGAAUAAAAUGUUCCACGUGUGGGAUUUUGUAUGUACCAUAUGAAUAAGGAUCGGCUAACUCCGUGCCAGCAGCCGCGGUAAUACGGAGGAUCCGAGCGUUAUCCGGAUUUAUUGGGUUUAAGGGGAGCGUAGGUGGAUUGUUAAGUCAGUUGUGAAAGUUUGCGGCUCAACCGUAAAAUUGCAGUUGAAACUGGCAGUCUUGAGUACAGUAGAGGUUGGUGGAAUUCGUGGUGUAGCGGUGAAAUGCUUAGAUAUCACGAAGAACUCCGAGUGCGAAGGCAGUUCACUGGACUGCAACUGACACUGAGACUCGAAAGUGUGGGUAUCAAACAGGAUUAGAUACCCUUGUAGUC